rnacentral:rRNA from 1 species
GUCUUCGGUCAUGGUACCUUGAACAAGCUCGAUCCCGUCUGAUCUCGGAAGCUAAGCAGGGUCAGGCCUGUUUACUACUUGGAUGGGAGACCGCCUGGGAAGACCAGGUGCUAUAGGCG